rnacentral:lncRNA from 10 species
CAGAAAGAAGAGAAAAGACUGAACUGACUGCUGUUCUGAACAAGAACUGUGACUAUAUGUGGUACUCCCAGAAUGCUGGUUUCCUUUCAGACCCAUCAAGUGGCCAUCCUAUUGGCUUGGACUGAAGACCCCCACUGGAGAACUGUCUCUGCAGCCUAUACUGAUGACACUGGCCACUGUCCAGGGCUCCACCCCAAGGAGUCCAAGCCCCAGACAUUUAGCCUUAGAGAGAAUCCAGAUUUUGCAUUUCCAGUGCAGGGAUUGAUGGAGCCUUGUGUAUCAAAGUGCCAAUUUCUUUCUAACAAGCUAGGGAGGAUACCGUUGACAGCAGCAGAAAGGGGUAGCAGUGGUUUGCUUUCCAAAUGGUAAUAAGAAGGGCCUGGCAGUGGCAACCUGUCCACGUAUCAUUAAAAAUGGACUCUCCUGCUUCGUUUGGAAUUCAACCCAAUGAACUUGAAUAAACUCUGGACAAUGACCAGCACAGAGCCCUAAGCAGGAUACAGCAAGAUUAUUUGCUUUACUCAUCCACUGAGUACCUACCAUGUGCCAAAUACUAUGCUAUAUGCCGAGUAUACACUGGCAAAUAAAACAGAUAUGGUCCCUGGAGCCUAUGAAUCUUACCCCAUCUAGCCACAAAUAAUAAAAAUAAGAAGAAUCUGAAGGACAAGUGGGACAGAAAUACUCAAGCAGAAUGAGGGUGAGAUUGAAGUCCCUGAACAUACAGUGCCCUUUACACUUGAUCUUAGCCAAAAGGCCGAGAAGAGAUUACAGUGCUUUUUAAAGGUAGCAUUUCACCCAGCCAAUAAUCAAUCCCUUUGGCCUUCUUGAGGUGCAAGGCCACACACUCAAAUUCUUUAAUCAAACAAUAGGCUAGUGCAAAUGGAGCUAUUUCUUAAACCCAGCUGUUUACACAGCAGCUACAAAUCUGUUCAGAAGGAAUCCCCCACCAUCCACAACUGUCUAUCGAGCAGAUGUGCAAGAGUAUUUGUCUCUCACCACCAGGGUUGCAGUCAGGACAAGAGAGCAGGUUUGAACGUCUUCGGCUCCUAGAACUGCACAAGCUGUGUCUUCAGUGCCCAGAGGCGGCUGCAACGUCUCCCCAGUUCUCCUCUCAGAACAAUGGAAAUUUUUUUUAGAGGCGUAAUAGGAAGGUUUGCAUUGAAUUAUUAAACAAUGGGUAUUGAAAAAUAUGUUUUC